GGCUGCUCCAGGGUUUGAGCACUCUCGGGUUAAUUAGAAUGGGCCGUUCAGCGGUGACGUUAGCAUUGUGGUGGCGCCAUCUGUAACAGUGUUUCGUGCAUCGAAUGCUAGGCGAACAUCUGGCCUAUUGGGUUUUAGGACAAAGUUUGUUACGAGCUUUUUGCUUUACUUGAUUUGAAUUCCGACGUGCUUUGGGAAGACGAGCGUGAUCUUACGAACCAAAAGUGCAUGAACUUUGUCUGUACGCACUUUCGUCCGCAUCCCUGCUGAAUGAGUCGGGUAUUUCGGAGUCCAUCAUUGAGUCCCCGCACACAAGUCACUGGCGUAAAAAUAGCACCCAGCGUUGUGCGUUUGCGUGCUUUUUAGCAGUCAACAAGCGACUAGCCUCUGUGGUCGUCGCGCUCGCUUCUGUACAGAGGCCUCGCUAAGGCCGCUGCUGCUCGCGUCCCACCGUGCCCGCCCAGACGCGUGACCGUCCCGCGCGCUCGUCGCAGGCUCGUCGGCGCUGCUGGUGAACACGUCGACGCCGUCGGUGGCCGCCUCGAGCGGCGCGCACUCGCUCAUCACCUCCCAGCUGCUGUCGCAGAUCAAGCACAGUCAGCUGGCGCUGCAGCUGGCCGCCUCCUCCGCCCAGCAGCCGACGGCCAGCACCGAGCCCUCCCGUAUCAUCACCACGCCCAUGCCGUCGCUGUUCCACACGCCGUCGGGCAUGCUGCAGCUGCCCGAGGGUCUGGUGCUGCUCAACAGUCCGUCGACGGUGAUACAGGCCGUCAAGAGCGAGCACGCCGGCGAGCCGCCCAACACCACGCAACCAACAGACCUCUCCAAGUCCCGCGUCAUCAACCAUGUCUCGUAGACCCGCCUGCUGCGCCGGCCGGGGCGCGUUCCGACGAGCCCUCUCCGACGCCGACCCGGGCGAGCGCCGUCUCUCAAGACGAGGCUCCGACCGGCGCCUCUGGUUGGACGGCAGCUGUGCUCAGUACGUCGUCUCUGGUCGGCCCGACGGGGCCCGGCCGGCUCAACCCCCGCGCCGCCUCCCGACGUCCAGUGACGGCUGCGUGCCGGGGUCGACGGCCGGCGGAGGUGCUA